rnacentral:rRNA from 1 species
GACGAACGCUGGCGGCGUGCUUAACACAUGCAAGUCGAACGGAAAGGCCCUGCUUUUGUGGGGUGCUCGAGUGGCGAACGGGUGAGUAACACGUGAGUAACCUGCCCUUGACUUUGGGAUAACUUCAGGAAACUGGGGCUAAUACCGGAUAGGAGCUCCUGCUGCAUGGUGGGGGUUGGAAAGUUUCGGCGGUUGGGGAUGGACUCGCGGCUUAUCAGCUUGUUGGUGGGGUAGUGGCUUACCAAGGCUUUGACGGGUAGCCGGCCUGAGAGGGUGACCGGCCACAUGGGGACUGAGAUACGGCCCAGACUGCUACGGGAGGCAGCAGUCGGGAAUAUUGCACAAUGGGCGGAAGCCUGAUGCAGCAACGCCGCGUGCGGGAUGACGGCCUUCGGGUUGUAAACCGCUUUCGCCUGUGACGAAGCGUGAGUGACGGUAAUGGGUAAAGAAGCACCGGCUAACUACGUG